AAAGAACCUACACGAAUCACGUCCUUAGGACGGAUCGUGUCACAAGGACCACUUCAGCACUGGAGAACAGAGCCUCUGAGAGCAGGUAGAAAUCCUGAGGAGAGAGGGGUCAGAAGACAGGCAGCCAUCAGAGCAGGAAAGGAAGGUGCCAUCUCCUUUUCUCCCAUCUGCUGAAUUUCUGCUUAGGACAGCAUUGCUGGACGGCACAGAGUCACUACUGAUGUGCAUUUUCUGGUGGAGGGUGGUGUGAGGCAUGAAGCUUCCACUGAUUAUUUGGGGAGCUUGGCUGGGACUUCAUGGGAAGUGUCUUCCUUCCCUCACCAGGAGCUGGAAGGGCAGCGUUUGGAGGCACAACAGCUGCUGGCACAACGGGCAAACUUCCUGGCAGAGGUAGAGAAGGAGCAGGAGAAAAGGCUGCUUGAGAUGAAGCAGGAAGUUGCCACCAUGCAAGCUGACCAAGUAGAGAAAAUCAGCUCCAUCUCAGAACCCCACCAACACCAGCCAAGUGACAUCUCUGGGACCUUCUGAGAGAGACACUCCAGCAAGACCUGCUCAGAAACGGCCUCUGGCUUCCGACUUGACCAGUCCUGUGACGAGCAAGAAGAGGAGAAUUGGUCACCAGCCCAGUCAUGUCCAGGCAGCAGCUGGUGGCCACUUUUCUUCCUUCUUUCUGCCUUCCACAUCCCUUUGCUUUUUGGACAUGCUUCCAAGUUUUGGCUCCAUUUCCCCCUGCACCCAUGUGGUGCAAAAACCAGAGAAAAUUCAGAGUUCCGUCAUCCCAGCGCCUGCCAGGGUGCAGAGGAGAUCCCCAAUUCAAACAGGAAGAAAAAUGAAUUGGGGAGGCUGAAGCAGUUGCAUCCCUUGGAUUUCGAUGAAGGAAAAAGAACAGAUACUUCCAUUGCCUCCACAUGCUCUGCAACAAGCAACCAAGCAGACUACUUGAGAAAAUACGGAGCCAUUGUCUCCUUGGAGCAACGCCAGCGCUACAAGGACGACUUCAAUGCAGAAUAUGAGGAAUAUCGGAAUUUAUAUUUAAAGAUUGACAAGAUCAUCAAGAAAUUCAGACAAUUUCAGGAGCAAUGGAAGUCUCUGACUCCAGGCUCCAAGGCCUAUCAGGUGGCUUGUUGCUCUGCUUUCUGACAUAAGACACAGUUCCCAGGUGGAUAAGGAUGUGCCUGAAUCACCAGGGAUGGUCUCAGCAGAAACUUGUGGAAAGAUGAGAGCACUCUCCAGAAAGAUGAUAAGAAGGGACUGAAAUUAUAAUUUCCUAUCAUGGGCUCACUUUUUUCUUUAGAAGCCACUGAAAUUCUGGACCUCAAGAGAGCAAGGGGAAGCACUGGUGGCCACUUCAGUGAGUUUUCCUGGCCACUUUUAUUCAUUUCUGGUUUUAGACUCUGAUUUGUUCUGUCAGCCUUGCUGCUGAGAUUGACCUCCAUGGACUGAGUAGGUCCCAUUUAACUGGGAGUGUUUUGCAUUACUUUUGUACAGUUUCAUCUCUGAAAUGAGAAUCUCUAUCUGAUGACAUUGCAAAAGGAAUUCCUAAUCUUAGUAGUUUUUCUUUUAUUAUUACUUGAGGUGAUUCUUUAGGAUUUGGUUGGUUUGUUUGUUUGUUGGUUUGGUUUGUUUUUUUUUUAAUGACAAGAAAAAGCCCCUGACCAUGCAGAAAAUGGGUCUACUAAACUGUGGAAGGAUUGAUGUCUGGACAAGGCCAGGACAUUCUCCUGUGGGAAUUGGACAACCUGGCCUGCAGUUUACAAAGUUACUCUGAAGACCACGUACUGUCCCCAGAACGAGACAGACCAUGUACUGUCCUCCAACAGAUACAUCAAGGAAGAAGGAGCAUUGUGCCCAGAUGAAACCAAAUGCCAAGCACACAAGUGGGAACUGCUAAUUUGGCACACCUUAGCUAAAGAUGCUUAUGGUGUGACAGCCAAUCAGUAAUUAACAUGCAUGUGUGAAUGCAGCUACUGAACCAAGGAGCAUUAAGCAUUAGUGGCGUGAGACAGUGUCUAGAGAAGGAUAAAUGUGCCAAAGCUGCUUAACAAAGGGGAGCAGCAUGUAGCCACAUGGACUGUGAGUGUCGUUCCUCGGCCGACUCUCCAUGGGACCCUCUUCCCUUUGGCGCCUGUGAACAGGGACUCUCUUUGCUGAAAUGCAGUUCCCUGAAAUGCAGUUCCCCUAAACGUGGAAGACUCCGAGCAUCAGGUUCCCAGGCAUAGCAGGAAUCUAUGGAUGCACUAAUGGAGCACUAACAUUCUCACCCUGCUCUAUUUACUUUCCAUUUAAAUACAGGCUGGUAGAAGGAGAGAUCUGGCUUUGAUUUCUCCCUAAGUUACCUGUUGCACUUUCAGGUUAGGAGUACAUGCAAAAUGCAGCUAAUCACUCUCUCUAUCCAUGAAUAUUCCACUAGUGGACUGACAUACAGAAACAUCCUUUUUCUCUUUCUACCUUCCCAAGUGGUGCAAUAAUGAACAGGAGACUUGCAGAAAUCACACAGAAAAUCACCAAAACUGCUGAAAUUAACACUCAAUUCCAUGAGAAAAGCUCCUGAGAAAAUGCUUGACAGGAUCACUGAACAAACUCAAGUUUGGAAGAGAAACAUUCCUUUUGGCACUGAUCAAGGGGAAAGAAAAAGAAAUGCUGUAAAAAUUCCAACUGGAAAUAAGGAGAAAGACAGGAAGCAGAGGAAGAACAAGGCCCUGUCAGAUGAGCUGUGGAAGGUAACUUUGUGCCCCAGCGCUGUCAGAGGACGUUCCCUGUCAUUGGUGCAAGCAGCUGGAGACAGAAAUACUGCUUGAUCUGGGGGCCACAGUCUUGGUCAGUGCAGAGGUGGUUCAAUAAUGUGACAUGAGGGAGUUCCCCCAGAGCACCUGGGAUGCCUGAAAGAAGUGAACAGCUCACCACAGCCUGGCCCCUCGGCUGCUUUUCCUUCUGACCCUCCUGGGGAGGCUCUGACAUUUCCUCUUCCCUGGUGGAAGUGCAGCUGCUGCCAAGGGAAACAUCCCCACACUGACUCAGUGUUCCCUUUGCUUGCCAUAUGUCCCAUCUGCUGUCCCUGUCCAGGAGAGCUGCUCUGCACGGGAGGAGGAGACCGAGGGAGAGCCUGGGAACAUGGGGGGCUGCAAUCCCUGCUGAUCUGGUUCUGUGUAUGGAUGGGUAGAGUUAGACUUGGAUAGUUACAAGUGUAGGGAUAUUUACAUACAUUGACUGAUAUUUGUGUAGGUAGCUAUGUAUGUAUAUUGUUAUAUUGAUGCAUGUAUAUUGAUCUGUUUACAUCUGGAGUUAUAUUUACAUAUUUCUACAUUUGUGUAGCUACUUUUAUUGCUGGAGUUGUAUGGAUUUUUUUAAUGGUCCAUUGAAAUUUGUACAUUUAUGUUUGUUAUGUGUGUAUUAUAUGUCACAUAUGGAAUGAAAUAUGUAUUUACAUCUAUAUAUUCUUAUGGAUAUAUAUGUAUUUACUUCUACUUAAAUAUAUAUGGAGUUGCAUAGUUCUACAAUUGUAUUUAUUUAGUUCUGGAUCUGAGAUUCUUUAGAGAGGGAUAUUGAUAUUCCUGUAUUUGUAUAUGGACUGUAAAGUGGUAGUAAUGUGCAAAAAAUUUAAUUGUUAAACUUCAAUUCAUAUUUGUGUAUAGUGAGUUGUAGAGUUGCAAUAAACUAAUUUUUUAUACUGAA